CUGUAAUAUAACUAGUAUCUGUUCCCUUUCUUUGUUUUCAUUCGAUGCUUAACUGUACUGUCCAGGCGAGCUGAUAUCCCAAAUAGUGUUUGGUUUUUUAUUUAUAAAUAUUUUAUGUUCGUUUGAGUUGACGAACAAGAACAUAAAUGUAUUUAUCAAUGUUAUAAAGAACACGUGUAUUUGUUGUGACAUUUGUCACAUGACUAGAUAUACCGGUUUAAGGUAUACUCUAGAGUAAUGAGUAUUUCACGAGCUAAUAUAAGCGGGAAGAAUUGUAACGGUAAAUCUGUGUGUAAUUAUGUGUCAUUCGACGCUUGCAUUUCGGACAGUUCAGUCUGGUCAUUUGACCCCCACCACCCAC
rnacentral:lncRNA from 1 species